GGGCAGGUAGCUCUGUUGCCUGGUGACGGUACAUGCAGCGGUAAGGGACAGUAGAGAGGGUCAGUCUAAAAAGACCAGCCUCGUUUACCUGUCAUAGAAGAGACAUACACAUCAUCACUUCUCUUUCAAAAUGGCCAAAGAGGUGGGAGGUUGGUGUGUGUUUUUUUUUUCUCUCUGUGUGUCGGUGUUACGGAAUUGUCAUUGGCUGAAAAGGGUCGCAUGGAUGGAGAUUUGUACAGAAGCGACCUGCUGUUGUUAGAUUGGAGCUAAAGUCCAGACGUUUCACUUUAUUUUUUUACAUUUACAUUUAUCAAUUGAAAACAUAAUUUGUUUACGCAAUUGCUUGUUCAGUUGAGUUGUUUUGUGUCACAGAAUCAUUGAUAAUUCUCCUGUUUUUUUCAGUUGAAGAUGUGUGUAGGACUGCAGAAAAAUUUAGCUGUCCAUCCCUCACAAAAGAACACAAUGUAAGUUUCUAAACAUAUUGUUUAUGUUUGUCCAAAAGCUCAUUCUUUCUGGGAUGGACUCACUUUGUUCACCUCUUGCCAGCUCUAUCUGUUCUUUUUUGUCCAUCUGCCCAUCCUUUGAAGAGUCUAUUGACCCCCUGUAACACGAGUCUAUUUGUGUGUCAAUCUGUGAAUACUGAAUACGGCCUGUGUGCGUCUAUCCGCUUUUUUCUACACCUGAUUCAUGCGUCAACAAUUCAAUGGCCUUUUCUGCAGAACAGACGGUGUGUUUGUAAAUACAGUGGAAGACAUCGACCGAUUCCUCAAUUGGUUUCUCCCCCCUUUUCUCAUCUGGGCCCUGUAGAGUUGCGUCAUGCAAGUGGAGUUUACAAAACCAGAAGGAGGAGGGCUUGGCUUUGCUUUGAUCGGGGGAACAAACGGCAGCUUGCUUAGAGUGAAGGAAAUCUGCUCCGGUGGGGUCGCCGAGCAGGAUGGUCGGCUGAAAGUGGGAGAUAUUGUAUUAGAGGUAAACGGAGUGAUUGUGUCGGGACUGAGCCACAGUAAGGUGGUGGAUAUCCUACGUAAAGCUGAGGGCACUGUGCAGCUCACCAUCAGCAGAGACACUCUGCCCCUGACAUACUCUGAGUCGCCCACACCGCCCAACACGUCCACUCAGACCGCAGCUAUUUCAGCUGAGCAGCCGGCUCCGGUGUCCGACCCUGAUAACUGUCCCUUUCCUGACGCCGUGCUGAAUAAGCCAGUUGAGCGCCCCCAUGGUGAGACCUCUGACAACUGUCCUUUCUGUUAUUGUGAUGUUUAG
ensembl:lncRNA